CCGGAGUCGAUCGACGUUCGGCCCCGAAAGUGAAGAGACCUCCACCUCCGGGGUCGAUCGAGGGUCGUCAGUCGGGUUCCCCGACUGACCUCCUCUUGGAGACAUUCUAGCCAUGAACCAGAACAGAAGGCAGGAAAUAAAGAAAAGAAGGAGGAGAACCGUGAGAAAGCAAGGAAGAAAACAAGCGAUGAUGAAGACUCCCAAA
rnacentral:lncRNA from 1 species